UCCCUGGUGGUCCAGUGGUUAAGAUGCCACACUUCCAGUGUGGGGGGUGCAAGUUUAAUCCCUGAUUGGGGAA
rnacentral:tRNA from 1 species